ensembl:miRNA microRNA 196a-1
UGAACUAGGACUGCUGGGUGAAUUAGGUAGUUUCAUGUUGUUGGGCCUGGGCUUCUGAACACAACAACAUCAAACCACCCGAUUCACGGCAGUUAAGGCUCC